rfam:Thermoanaerobacterium saccharolyticum JW/SL-YS485, complete genome.
CCGUACUAGAUGGGGAGGUAGCGGUGCCCUGUAACCUGCAAUCCGCUAUAGCAGGGUCGAAUUCCCGAGCCGAGGCAUGAUUACUGUAAGGCUGGCAUAAGUAAGUGAUUAUGAUAUUCAAGUCCUCCGCAAUGGAAAUUUGUGAACCCCGCCAGGUCUGGAAGGAAGCAACGGUAAGCAAAUACUUUCAUGUGCCGGGGGAGCGCUUGAGUGGAGUUAACUGCUUAUGUAACGCUUAUGGUAACAUGACAGAGUCGGGUGUGCGG